GCAUUGUGAGGAAAGUGACAAUGAUAUCAACCGUGAUAUCUUGUUCACCAGGACUAAUUUAGUUAACUUUGUUGUCCAGGCAGAUGUCUUUUCUCUCAUCACUCCAUGUGUGCCCCUCCUGUAGCAUGUUCACUCAAAGGCCCUGACUUUCCAGGACAGAGGAGGACCAUUUCUCAGUUCAAGCAUACAAGUAGCUGACUCCCCUACUAGAACCUCCAAACCUGCUCUUAAGAAGUAGUGUGAUGGCAGGCCAUCUGGGGCUAAAUAAUGAGACCUUGUCUUAAAU
rnacentral:snRNA from 1 species